rnacentral:siRNA from 1 species
CGAGUGAUGUGAUCGAGUGGUGGU